rnacentral:misc_RNA from 1 species
UUUCCGUAGGUGAACCUGCGGAAGGAUCAUUACCGAAUUGUUAACAAGAGCUGUUGCUGGUCCCCAUAUGGGGGCAUGUGCACGCUCUGUUUACACAUCCACUCACACCUGUGCACCCUCUGUAGUUCUAUGGCCUGGGUGGGCUCUGUCCUCCUGCUGUGGUUCUACGUCUUUACACACACACUACAAUAAAGUCUUAUGGAAUGUAUGUCGCGUUUAACGCAAUGAAAUACAACUUUCAGCAACGGAUCUCUUGGCUCUC